GGUUGAGUGGCCAGAAGUCAUGGGACCAAGUUGUAGCUCUUUGUUCAGCUGCCUUUGGCAGGCACACGUGAAUUUUUACAGCAACCAGGUGGAAUUUCAAGGUGUGACAUGCUAUUCAACUCAAGGGCCUAUGUUGUUGGCAGUCUAGAGUGGAUGAAUCAGCCCAGUAUCUCCUGGCUAUGUAUUCUCAGAUGGAGAUAAAGUUGGGGAACAUGUUUGCCCAAUUGUAGAUAAACUAAUGGCUGCUGGCUAAUGGAUCCUGAGCUAAUUAGUUUAGGCAAUGGUUAUCGAUGCCAUGGCUACAUUCUCCCUCAACUACUGCAGCAUACGGUGUGUACAACUAUUGUUGAAAAGCAUCUGGAAAUAAAAACUGGUGUUAAAUUCA